rnacentral:tRNA from 1 species
GGAAGGGUGGCCGAGUUGGUUAUGGCGCCAGGUUAAGGUCAGCUUAACAUGAGUUUCCUGGUGGGGCAACCCGCGCGAGUUCGAGUCUCGUCCCUUUCA